GACGAACGCUGGCGGCGCGCCUAACACAUGCAAGUCGAACGGAGCUGAGAGAAGCUUGCUUUUCUUAGCUUAGUGGCGAACGGGUGAGUAACGCGUGAGUAACCUGCCCUGGAGUGGGGGACAACAGUUGGAAACGACUGCUAAUACCGCAUAAGCCCACGAUCCGGCAUCGGAUUGAGGGAAAAGGAUUUAUUCGCUUCAGGAUGGACUCGCGUCCAAUUAGCUAGUUGGUGAGGUAACGGCCCACCAAGGCGACGAUUGGUAGCCGGACUGAGAGGUUGAACGGCUACAUUGGGACUGAGACACGGCCCAGACUCCUACGGGAGGCAGCAGUGGGGGAUAUUGCACAAUGGGGGAAACCCUGAUGCAGCGACGCCGCGUGGAGGAAGAAGGUUUUCGGAUUGUAAACUCCUGUCGUUAGGGACGAUAAUGACGGUACCUAACAAGAAAGCACCGGCUAACUACGUG
rnacentral:rRNA from 1 species